AGCUUGCGUAGCGCGCCCUCUGGUGAGAGAAUGCCAAGUGCCGGGCCGGAUUUCUUCGUUGAAUGAAAACAAAUGACAUUCCAGGGCGGCCGGAAGCAAUUUGCAUCCAGAACAAACUUUGACUGGAGUUACAAUUACCUCUGCAGGGAGUUGAAAGACAUUACAGAUGUCUAUGAUUUUGUGGAGGCAAUCAAUAUAUAGCUAUAGGAGAAGCCCUACAAGCAGGACUGAAGAAGGGCUGUGAUGUUGUUGGAGUUGAUGGCAGAAAUGAUGUGAUCAGGUCCUGCAACAGACUUCUCUAUUAGAUUAAAUAAAAUAUUGAGUUCCAACUGAACAGAAGUAAUUGAAAUAUGUACCAGUCUUUUUUGUAUUCUUUUUCAUGAGCCAAUAAAGUUACGUCAUCUCACUGAUGAUAAAACAAGGAAAUUUAUGAUAUGGUAAAGUAAAUUGAAUGCAUUGACUCUAGACAAAAGGCAAUACAAGGCUUGAAUUGACUGUACAUAGAAAGACUUUCAAAGACUGCAUGCAUUGAAUCUGAAAAAAAAGUCGUCUCAUGCCUGCAUUGGUGUAAUUCAAGUCCUGCAUUGGCACUACAAACUUUGCUUCAAUUGACUCCGGGGAACGGUCAUCUACAGCCUGCAUCAUCUCUAUAUACAUAAAAAGAUUAGUCAAGACAUGCAAUGGCUCUGUAUAAUUACAUAUGGUUCCUGAGAUAGCCACUUCGCAUUCCUCAGUACAUACCUGGAUCAUACAGUGUUCUGAUUCAUUUCUAACAGAGUAGUCCAAUGCCUGCAUUGGCUUUUGACAGAGUGGUCCAAUGCCUGCAUUGACUCUUGAGAGAGUGGUCCAAUGCCUACUUUGGCUCUUGACAGAGUGGUCCAAUGCCUACUUUGGCUCUUGACAGAGUGGUCCAAUGCCUGCAUUGGCUCUAGACAGAGUGGUCCAAUGCCUGCAUUGACCCUUGACAGAGUGGUCCAAUGCCUGCAUUGACUAUUGAGAGAGUGAUCCAAUGCAUGUAUUGCCUCUUGACAAAGUGGCCCAAUGCCUGCAUUGGCUCUUGAGUGAGUGAUCCAAUGCCUGCAUUGGCUCUUGACAGAGCAGCCCAAUGCCUGCAUUGGCUCUUGAGUGAGUGAUCCAAUGCCUGCAUUGAAACUUGACAGAGUGGUCCAAUGCCUGCAUUGACUAUUGAGAGAAUGGCCCAAUGCCUGCAUUGGCUCUUGACAGAGUGGCCCAAUGCCUGCAUUGACUCUUGGAAGAAGGAUCCAAUGCAUGCAUUGCCUCUUGACAAAGUAGCCCAAUGCCUGCAUUGGCUCUUGAGUGAGUGAUCCAAUGCCUGCAUUGGCUCUUGACAGAGUGGCCCAAUGCCUGCAUUGGCUCUUGAGUGAGUGAUCCAAUGCCUGCAUUGGCUAUUGACAGAGUGGCCCAAUGCCUGCAUUGGCUCUUGACAGAGUGGCCCGAUGCCUGCAUU